ensembl:lncRNA DRAIC downregulated RNA in cancer, inhibitor of cell invasion and migration
AUGGGCGCCUAGGGACCACCUUGAGCAGGACUCAGGAUGAUGCUCAUUUUACAGGAGUUUGGAUGCUUCAUCUCUGCUGAGACCCAGUGCCUGGCACUGAAGGUGCUCAGGAAAUACCUUCUGAAUGAUCGGAAGCCCCUGCCAUCUGCUAAACUGGAUCUAUGAUGACAGAAGCCGAGGAAUGUGAGGUUCAUCUAGAGAGUUCUUGUGAAUUUUCCAAGGGAGGCACCUGUUGAAUUCAGGCAUCGGCAUGUGACUUGAUUUGGUCAAUGAAAUGUGAGAGAAGUGACAUCCACUUUGAGGCAGGCACUUUCCGAAUGCCAUCAAGCUGAGAUGUGAAGCGGAAGUGAGGCAGAGGCUCCCUUCCUUUUGUUUGGCGCAGUUUUCUGUGAGAGAGCAGAGGUGGGAGAUGAGGGGACCUCUGCCCCAGUGUUUCUGCAUCCAAGCUCCAGCCUUGUUGAAGGUUGCCCCGACGGCCACUCUCCAUACUGCUGCCAGAAGAACCUUGAAAUAUCGCUCUUUUUAAUUAAAAAGCAAAACUCUUCAAUUGUUUUUGUUGCAUUUAAAGUUCAAACUUCUUACCACGGAGUGAAAGGCCCCACACAAUUGGCCCUGUCUUCUUCUCCAACUUCCAUUUUUCUUUGGUCCACCGUGUUCUAGCCGCAUGGGCCCUGUCUUGAUUCCUUGUACAUGUCAAGCUUACUCUUGCUCCAGAGCCUGUGUGGUAGUUGUUCCCUCUGCCUGGAAUGGCCUUCCCUAGAACCUGCCUUGGCUGGUUCUUCUUGCUAUUCAAACCUCAGCUCCCACAUCACCUCCUGUGUUAGGCCUCCCUGGACCACUCUAAUUAAAUUAGUACUGGAGACAUCAGUCCACCUGGCUUCAGGGGCCAGGCCUUCCUCUUGCAGCCUAGAGGCUCUUUGCAGACUGCUCAAAGCUCCCUUUGCACAACUCAACCUGGCAGUGGGGCCUUACUUUCUAUUUUUAUGAUCUCAGGGAUGUCUAGAGACCUCGUUGGCCUGGCUACAGUACAUCCUAACCGGGCAUUGAGUUGGAGGAACUCAGGAGCUUAUAAUCUGGCCUAGCUCCUCCAAGUUAGUCAGUUACCAAGUGGAGAAGAGAAGCCCUUUACCAUUGAAUUUUUAAUUGUACUGGAAACUGCCUAACCCUUUGGUAGAACAAUAAAGGGAAAUUUGGUGACUUGGUCUAGAGGCCUGGGGCAAGUAGCAACAGAGAUGAGGUUAGAAAGAUUUUUAACAUGUGGGCUUUCUUUUGUCAUUAAAAGAGAAAAACAAGCUCUUACAAUGUUUGAAGGAAACCGUCAUGCAAUUUCCAAGUAGUUAUUGGAUUCUGUCUGUGACCAAGACAUUGAAGGACUUGGGCUGAGCUUUGGGGCCACUGGAGUAUGAAGAGGCCCCUUUUGUCAUGGAGCUGACUUCUAGGAAGGGAGACAGGGCAGAGGCAAAGGGCGCAGGGACUACACCAUGGAGUGCCAUGCUGCAUCAGGCACUGUGUUUGGGUUUCCAUACACACAGAGCAAUUAACACACAGCAGGCUGUGUGUACCUGGACCCAAGGGGCUGGCCAGGCAGAGAGGUCUGGGACUGCCCAGGAAGGGGAGCAGGUGAUGUCUGAGGAGCAGAGGGGAUGAGAAAAGGCUUCCUGCAGGAGAUGGACUUGGAACUGGCUCCAGGUGCACCGUGGGCUCUGAACACACACUACUGAAAUAAUGGGCCAUGAAAUUCAUUCCUCCAGCACUAUUCUGCUUCUCUGUCACUUCUCCUUUCCCCAUCAUUUCCUUCCCCGGCUGGAGAGCACUCAGGAAUGCCUUGCUGUGCCCAGUCAGGCCUCUGGAGUCCACCCUACCUAGCUGAUGUAUUAUUAUCACCAGCAAACACACACCAGAGGCUGUAUCUUGGCUGGGAAGCACAUUAGCACCUUGGAAGCCCUUCUUGGAAAAAGUAAAAGAUUGGCAUUUGAGCCUCCUCAUUGAUUCCUUUGGAUGAGGCAGAAAACCGCUGCCCAGAAGGAUGAAGGGGUGAAGUGGAAAAACAUGGGCUGGCUUCAAAGUGGAGCACAGGAGGCUAGGAAUAGUUCUGCUUUGUGAACAAAGUCGUGCAAAAGGCAGAGAGAGAGAGAGAGAGAGACAAAGAUAGAGAGCGCAGGAGAGCGAGGAGGGAGGGAGUCAGCUUUGGCUAAUUUGAAUUUUGAAUUGCCUUGAAAAUCACCGUGCAGCAGUAUCCAAUUCUGCCUUUGAUGGUCGAAAGAAACCAGCUGCUUUUAUUCCUCUUCAGGUCUUGUUUUCCCCCCAGCAGUGAAGCAAAUUAAGCAAAGAAACAGUGAAAGUUGUAGUUGGUAUAAUAUCUCAGGCCAAGGUCAGGCUAAUUGUUGGUGGGAGGGGCGGUAGAGACAAGGGACACACUCUAGGUGUUGAUAUUUCUCACUCCUGCUCCAUUCUGCUCCCCAUAAUGUCACUUUGGCAUUUCCAAACACGACCACCUUGGCAGGCUUUCUUUACAAACUAAGGCCCUUGUUCUAACCACCAGCAUUCCUAUACUAUGCCAUGCAUUCGGGCAGGUAAGAUAUGGUCCCUUUGCCCAAGUCGGGCUAAAGGAGUGGCAAACCUUGAAACACACCCCAAGAUAUCCCAUAAUGCUGUUCUUAAUUUGCAACAUCAGCAGGGCAGGUAUUUGCUAGUGAGCGUAGCCUCAUUUUUUCCUGCUGCCUCAUUUUUAUCAACUCAGUUGUAAAAAUUAAUAUCAUGGAGGCUUCCUUGAAAGAUAUGAAAUGCGUACUUCUCCCUAGACAGUCUAAAAUGUACCUUUGUAUCAAAUUUAAGCAGCCAUCUGGGAAGCUUGCCUGUGCUGUUUUGGGCCCUGGUAGAGCUCUUUUGAAUGUGUGGCAUGCUGGCAGGAUGCCAGCUGCCUGAGAGGAGGAACCGGGAGUGCUUGACCCCGUGAUGGGUAGAAGAUGGAAAAAUUGUCAUUUCAAAACAGCAGGUGGUUCCUCUCUUGAUAGAGGUGGAGAUUUUCACCUUUUGGGCAAACAUUUCCUUUGUGUGGUUGAAAUUAUCAGAAUGGACCCUUGGGGACAACUGGGCAGUAGUCUGAAUGCUGAUGUUUUAGAUGGGAAUAUGGGGGAUUAAUUUGUUGCGUGUGGUUAUGCCAGAGCAAGGUCUCUCCUUUUUGUCUCCUUCUCUCCCUUCCUUCCUUGUUUUUGAUUGUGCUCUGCUCACCUCCUCCUGGUCCACACACCUUAGUAAGUGGUCAUUGAAUGCUGCUGUCCAGAAGGGGAUUCUCUCUCCUCGGCUGCUUCCUGAGUAAUAAUCAAGGUAAAAGUGAUGAAGUGGAAGGGGCGGGUAAUUGGACCUAUUUUGAAAACUCAAGAUUCUGUCCUGACCAUUCCUAGGCUUGACACAUCUUCCUUUCCCUUAAAAGCAACCCCAGGCUAGCCCAAAGAAGGCCUGGAAGAGGUAAAUGUAAUUCUGGUUUGGCCACCUGGAUUCUUUUGUUGGAUUGACCUGACCUUAGGUCAUUAGGAUAGUGACCACUUGUCUUAGUACACAGCUCAUUCAGCACCCUAUUGUGGGCCACAACAACAAAAGUUGGGGAUAUAAUGGAUCUCUCCAUGUUUUAUGAAAAUGCUUUUGUCACUCUUGCAAUGGAAACUUCUGGAUUAAAGAUGUACAUAUGAGUAGGAGAUUAUUGGGAAAAGGGUGAUGUUACAUUUAUUGGAAGGGCAGUUGAGGAAGGACAUUGACCAUGGCACCCACAGAGGGAAUACCUUAGCCUGUACUUGUACUUAGAGGUACAGGGAAGGGAGGGACACUGAUGAAAUUUGUCUUUCAGAACCGCUUCUGGAGUCUUCCUCCCAAGAGCGAGGCACUGGUGCUGCUCUGUCAAACUGUUCAAGUGCCUUCAUGUAACUGCUUGCUGUCUCUGCUGGCCCCUCCCACUGGCUCCAACCAUGGCUUGGUCCCCACUCCCCUUAACCCCAGCUCCUGCACUUCCCAUGCAAAGCACCUGCCAGCACCUCUGGAUAACUUUCCCAACCACAUUCUCAUACUAUUUGCUCAAUCAUUCCAUGGGGCAAGAGAAUGUCACCCGACUAGGAGUGUAGACAGACAGGACAAGUUGGACAGACAGCCCUCAGGCAGAAUCUUUGAAAACAGGGACUCCAUUAUUGGCACUGAAAACCCUAAGUCUUACCACCCAUGGAGAGGCCAUAUUGGAGCCAAUCAACCUGUGCCCCUAGCUGAUGUCCCAUUUGGGGAUCCCCAACAACUGUGGACAAUACUUCCUUUCUAGGGGCACCAUAUGCAUCCCAGGGACUGUAAUUGUGAAUUGUGUGGAAGCCAGAUGUUACAUUGUCUCCCUACUGUAAACACAGUGACCUUCCCAGACAGAUAACUGAGUCAUUAUUUAUGGGUACCCUAUGAACUGUUUUCCCUAUAAUGGGACCCCUGCAAUUAGAAAAGGAGGCAUGAAAUUUGACCCUGACUUCAGCCGACCCCACCGUGGCCUGGGACCUGGAAAGCAUUCAUGUCAGCCUCCCCUCACUGACCAGGGUUGUGAUUGACGACAAUAGAAUUACCCUACACUUUUUCCUUGUAGGCCAAGAUGGAGUCUCUGCAAUUCCAAAUACAUCCUGCUCUACCUGGAUCACUGCCUUGAGCUGGGUGGAAAGGUCAGUAGACAAAUGUAUCCACCUGGCUUUCUAACGUAGACCCAGGUUGUUGAUGGCAUCCGUUCACCUGGCUGGAUGCAGGACCCUGGGGAGGUCAUGGCUGAAGCCAGUGCUGCAGGUUAGUCUUGUCUCGCUGCAUGGAUCCUGUUGGUAGUAACCUUAAUUAAAUGCUAUAGGAGACUAACUAAAUCGAUUUUGUCCCCCCUUCUAUUGGUCAAAUUAAUCAGAGUGGCUGAUAGAGUGAUGCAUUCAUGGGAGGAUUUGCCAGAAGCUAAGGCUAUAAAAACCAGGGCUAGAGUUGGUUUGAGACAAUUCUCCGUGGGUCUUUCAAGUUUCUGCAUGGUUUGUGAGCAGAGCUACUGACUGCCUUUGUUCCAGAUGAUCUUUCCAAGGAUGUUGUACUACAAGUAUGAGAGAUAGUAUCUCUCUCUGAAACCAAGAGCAGGCAGGCUUAGUGUUCCUUAGGAAAGAUUCACCUUCCCUCCACUUGGGGUUUCUCUCCUGUAGUGCAGGUGUGUGCAGGAGCCUUGUGGCCCUUCCUAUGCUGCUCUGUAAGAUUUGGAGCUUAGGGAGCCAAUGCAAAAAAGCACUGCUUCUGGAUCCUGCUACUUCUGUGAGUCAUGAAAUCUUUGAUCUCUGACCCAGGAGUCUUGUGUCUUCUGCUAGCCUCCAAGCAGGGUAAAGUCAUCUCAGACACCUCACAGUUCUUGAUCACCAUGUCUGGCCAGAACCAUGCUUGAGUGUGGCAUGUCUGUGAACAUCAUCCAUCGUGUAUGCAUCAUAGGAAGAUAAAAGUCAGCCGCUCUUGACAUCACCAGACCAUACUGGAUGAUAGGUGUGGGGGUCACCACCCACCACUUUCCAUGCAGGCGAUCAGUUCUACAUAAAGAUCCAGGAGGCUGGCUGGAGAGGGCUGGAGGGGCCUCAGGAGUCAGACCAUGUGGGUUUCUAUCAUGAUCCUCCAUACCCUACAGCCUCUGUUUUCCCAUCUUUCAAGCAGGGAUAACAACAGCACCUACUUUGGAGGGGUUUUGUGGGGAUUCAAUAGUAUGGCUCCGCCCAGGAAAGCCCUGAUGAAGGUAGAACCUGUUAUUUGUGUUUACCAUUGUUAUUAUCAUCCAUAUCAUUAUUCUGCCCACCUGGACUUAUUCUUUGUAAGGCUUGCCUCUCCCUCUGAACAGCCUGUAUAUAAUCUAAGUCUAUCUUUUCUGCACCAAAAUUGGCCAAUUUAUGUGGCACCCCUCACCACCAUCACUGGAUGUGCCUCUAAUCUAAUUAGACUAAUUUCAAUUUCCUGGAUUUAAUUACUUUUAAUUUAAUUAAUUUAGAAUGCAGUAUACUAGGUGAUUAAUUAGGAGACGUUACUGAGGGAUUCGGAAGGGGAAUUGCAGUAUGUAAGUGUUUAAAUAUUAUUGUGGCCAUAGCCACCAGUUGUCACUUUACACAGGAGGCCGCUGAGGCCCUGGGAGGGGCAGAGCUUGGAGAACUGGGAUGGGACAGGGACUCAAACAGAAGUCUCCUGGCAGCAAGCACAGAGCUCUUUCCUUUCACUGCUUUUGGCAACUCCCAGGGGAGGCAAAGAAGAGGCAGCUGAUUCCAGUGACCAGCAAGUUGGAACUAAGUCAUGAAUUGUGGGAGGUGAGAACACACUUGGUCUUUUAAUAGAGUGAUAUUUUACUGGGUUUUUCAUGUACAUAGUAAAUAACCAUAGGUCUCCCUCUGAGCUAUCACACACUUCUGUUAUUUUUCUUUUUUGCUACACACAUUUACUGAGUACCUGGAAUAAUGAAUAGUCAUCACCAUCAUCAUCAUCUUAACAAACAUGUAUGUGGUGCUACAUGCCAGAUGUUGUUCUGAGUGCUUUUAUAUUGAUUAGCUCAUUUAAUUGUCAUCGGAGUUAAGUACUGUAAGUGAAGUACUGUUGCUUCCAUUGUACUAUUGCUUCCAUUGUCUAGAGGACUAUUGCUUCCAUUGUCUACAGUACUAUUGCUUCCAUUGUCUAGAGGAGGGAUCUGAGGCACAGAGUUAGCUCUGUCAGGAAUAUCUAUUAUUUGUGUUGUACAAAGGGACAAGUCCUAGUGAAUUUCAGGCUUGUGCCAGGCAGGUGGGGGAGACAGUCUAGGGCUGGGCCCUUUAGGUCACACAGGUUUACCUACUCCACCUCUGAGAGGUAAUAAUAACACCAGCAAACACCUGCAGAGCCCUGACUGUGUGCCAGGUCUGCUUCUAAAUCAUGUUGUGUAUUGACUCUGGACACACCUGCCCUACUCACUACUCCCUGAGGGUAGAUUGAGCUAUGGCUUUCUCCAUAUCUCUGUUUGUCAAUCAGGACUUGAGACUACAGUUCUGAUGGACCCUUGGAGGCAGAGCUGGGCCAGACCCUCUAUCCUGAGCGAAUCCUGCAGCAUGAGCUAGAUCCUUCACUCUGAAAUCCAGCUCCAAUUCCAAGGUUACUCAUUUACCAAAUGAGCCCAUUGGGCAUUUUCAGGGCUUUGACCCCUGUUCUCUUGGAAUGUUGGGUUAGGAUUCAGGUAAGAAGCCUGUGUGGUGUAGGACUUCACUCUGAUGCAUGAGCAAUGCCUGCUAGGCCGGGACCCUCUUGCAAGGAGAAGUAAAGACACAAGAGCUGGCUUCAAUAUAUUCCCUGUGUGGGGACUAGGACCACAGUGAGACUUUCCUCUUUAUAAAUGAAUUUUCUAAUAGUCUGAGCUGUCUUAGCUGCAAUGGGCUUGUCAACAGGCCAUCACUGGGGGUAUCCAAACAGAAACCGAUUGACAACAAUUUGCUCACUUGGUCUUCUCUUCCUGGAAGGCUCAUCUCUAUCCUUUUUGUCAGUUAACUCCUAUUCAACUUUUAAGACUCAGUCCAGGUGUCACUUCUUCUGGAAAGGCUUCCCUGUAAACCCCAACCCAGCCCCAGACUGGGCCAGAUGUCCUUUGUGUUCCCAUAAUGUCUCAGGCAUAUCUUUAUCAUUACACCCACUAUAUAUUGCAAUGACCUGCUUAUGAGUUUGUCUCCUCUAGGUUCUGUCUAUGUCACCACCCUCUUCAAUAACCAGGUGAGGCAGACAUGAUUUCCAUUUGGAGGAUGGAGAACCGAGGCUCAGGACCUCGCCCGUGCAGCCAAGAGGAGACAAAGAUGGCUAGGUCUGGUUCCCAAGCCUAAAGACCAUGAUCUGUCCAGUGUGGAACACUGCAGGCCCCCAAGUUCUGUCAUUUGUAAAGUCAUGGGCUUGUGUGAGUCCCGAGCAAUCAAAGCAGCAGAAGCAAUGCUCCCAAGGGGUGCACGAGGGCCAUGUUUGGAGCCAUGCCAGCUUGCCAAUCCUUGGCAUACUCUGUACAUAGCCAGAUAACUACACAAGCUCACCUCAUCUGCACAAACUCACUCUCUGAACACUUCUAAGGUCACCGAGAAGUCAGGGAAAAAUGAGAACCAGGACAGUCAAAGCCUUUGCCUCUCCUGAAGCUAUGGGGCUUGUUGCCAGAGCCAAAGCCCCUCUUAGCACUCUUAUUACUUCAUUUAACAAACAUAAGGAGAGCCCGGCCCUCUGCUUUUAAGGGUGGAUUCCAUUACUAUUAAGACUUCUGCGGCCCCUGAAAGAUUAACUCAACAGUCACCCCUGUGAAAGCUGAUCCAAGUGGAAAAUCGAGUUAGAAAAUUCCACCUUCCCUUCCCUCACACCUCAGCAGAUUAAGGGGAAGGCCUGAUGCUGAGUUAUGGGGAUUUAUGGGAAUGUGCAGUUGCUGGCUUUUAAACGCUCACUCUUUGGAAUGUUGGCAACCUUGCUUCCUAUAAAUCGUUGCUGGUAUUUCUUAGCCUUUCCUUGCCAGCAACGCGGAGGCCUGCAACACCUUUUCCGUGCAGUAGCCUGUGAAAAUAUUGAAGUCAGGCCCAGAAAAACACCAGCAUUGAAAGGGGAAACUUUGAUGUUUGCUAGUUCUUUUCAGACAACUCUUGCCAAAUCUUAAUUUUUCCAGUUUACAAGUAAGGGAUUCUGACCAUCUGUCUGCUGUCAACCGAUGUUUGUUUGGAUGAAGAUUUUAUUUUUUUCUCCCAAUCUAGCACUCCUGUUCUUACAAGUAGUUUAUUGGACUUCAUAAAUGUCAGCUUUUUGCAGGCAUUUUGUAAGCAGCUUAUGAUUUAGUAUUUAAUCAAAAUUGAGCAGUCAGCGUCUGUAAUCAAUCUGAAGCAGGAGUAACAAUGAGAUUGAAGCUUAAAAUGCACCAGGACCACAAUUUAUGUCUCCCAACUAUCGUUGUAAGAACUAAGUUUGCACUUGAAGGUCUGGGGUGGGGAGAUGAUGCAGGAAAUAAACACUUAUUGAGUACC